rnacentral:rRNA from 1 species
GAUGAACGCUGGCGGCGUGCCUAAUACAUGCAAGUCGAGCGAACAGACGAGGAGCUUGCUCCUCUGACGUUAGCGGCGGACGGGUGAGUAACACGUGGAUAACCUACCUAUAAGACGGGUAUAACUUCGUGAAACCGGAGCUAAUACCGUAUAAUAUAUUGAACCGCAGUGUGCAAUAGUGAAAGACGGUUGUGCUGUCACUUAUCGAUGGAUCUGCGCUGCAUUAGCUAGUUGGGAAGGUAACGGCUUACCACGGCGACGAGGCGUAGACGACGUGAGAGGGUGAUAGGCCACCCGAGAACUGAACCACGGACAAUGCUACUAAGGGAGGCAGCAGUAGAGAAUGUUACGCAAUGGUCGAAAGCUUGACGGAGCAACGCCGCGUGAGUGAUGAAGGCCUUCGGAGCGUAAUACUCUGUUAUUAGGGAAGAACCAAUGUCUAAGUAACUAUGCACGUCUUGACGGUACCUAAUCAGAAAGCAACGGCUAACUACGUG